CUGCACCUGCUGCAGAUCGUGGAGACGAGAAGACAGUGGCCAAGCAGCUACGGCAGCAGAUCGAGGAUGGGGAGAUCAAUAUCAAGCGGCUGAAGGCAGAGGAUAAUGCACAAUGAAGUAAACGAGACAGAGAGCAUCCAGGAAAACUUAGCCAUGGAGGGCAUGAUGGUCGAAGGCUGUGAGACCCUCCUGGACACCAGCCAGACUUUUGUGAGAUGGAGCAUGGCACCCUGCAUCCCCCCAACAUCAAGUGAUAUUGACCUUUCCCUGAAGAGGCGGGAAUGAGAAAAUAAGACGAGAAGACCCUAUGGAGCUUCAAUUAAUUAAAAAAAAAAACAAAGCAUUCCUUACACUAAUUGAAUGAAAAGUAUUAGUUUAUAUAUGACUCUGUAAAGGACCACAUCAUUGGCCCCAUGAUCUGUGGAGACACCAGUAUUUACAUCAGUGUCACAAGGCCAUCAGCUGGAGUUCACAUUUGAAAAUGUACCCAGGAAGACACCCUACAAAGGACCCACUAGCACACAACAGAACAAGUAAUGUGGACUUUUGUCAAUGAGCAUGUGAAAACGUACCCGGGAAGGCACCCUACAAAGGACCCACUAGCACAAAACUGAACGAGUAAUGUGGACUUUUGUUGAUGACCAUGUGAAAAUGUACCUAGGAAGACACCCUACAAAGGACCCACUAACACACAACUGAACAAGUCAUGUGGACUUUUGUCGAUGACCUAGUAUUUAAAAUGGUAGGAUAAAGAUGCAGGACUCUAAAGUGUUCAUGGAAAUGCUGAAUGCACAAUUCAGAAACAAAGAAUAAUCAACAAGGUAAACCAACUACAAUAGAUUUAUAAUUGCUUACAUGUACACAGUAAGAGUUUUUGCUGAACAAUUAAGUAUUCAGGUAUUUGUCUUGAUGAAAACAUGAAACUUUACGUUGAA